CGCAUCUGUGCAGCAGCAUAUCAAUAAGCGGAGGAAAAGGAAACUAACAAGGAUUCCCCUAGUAACGGCGAGUGAAGCGGGAAGAGCUCAAAUUUGAAAUCUUAAAGGGUUUCCCUUUACGAAUUGUAGUUUAAAGAAGUGUUUUCUGUUGAGGUUUUGGUAAAAGUUCUUUGGAAUAGGACAUCAUAGAGGGUGAGAAUCCCGUAUUUGACCUUUACUUUCAACUUUGUGAUACACUUUCAAAGAGUCGGAUUGUUUGGGAAUGCAGUCCAAAAUGGGUGGUAAAUUUCAUCUAAAGCUAAAUAUUGGCGAGAGACCGAUAGCGAACAAGUACCGUGAGGGAAAGAUGAAAAGAACUUUGAAAAGAGAGUUAAACAGUACGUGAAAUUGUCAAAAGGGAAGCGUUUGACACCAGUGUUGUUUUUCUGAAAAUCAAUUAAAGAACUGUUUAUGCUAAGUUGUUUAGACUUUAUCAGCUAACUGUUUAGUUUUGAGCUUUUCUUUAAUGCACUUUUCAGUUAACAAGUCAACAUCGAUUUCUUUUGCUGUAAAAAAGCUUGAGGAAGGUGACUUGAGAUUCGUCUUAAGUGUUUAUAGCCUCUUGCCUAUGCAGUCGGAGAGAUUGAGGUCUGCAGCGUAGAUCCUUCGGGGCUAAAUGCAUUUGUGCUGAAGUUAUAGCAUUUUAUAGACAACUUGUUGACUAUGAUUUGUCUUGUAGCUUACUCGCUUAUGUUAUUUUACCUACGCUUAGGAUGUUGAACGCGCACAGAGUCUC
rnacentral:rRNA from 1 species